rnacentral:rRNA from 1 species
AGAGUGAUCCUGGCUCAGAGUGAACGCUGGCGCCUAACACAUGCAAGUCGAACGGCAGCACAGUAAGAGCUUGCUCUUAUGGGUGGCGAGUGGCGGACGGGUGAGGAAUACAUCGGAAUCUACCUUUCGUGGGGGAUAACGUAGGGAAACUUACGCUAAUACCGCAUACGACCUUCGGGUGAAAGCAGGACCUUCGGGCCUGCGCGGAUAGAUGAGCCGAUGUCGGAUUAGCUAGUUGGCGGGGUAAAGGCCCACCAAGGCGACGAUCCGUAGCUGGUCUGAGGGAUGAUCAGCCACACUGGAACUGAGACACGGUCCAGACUCCUACGGGAGGCAGCAGUGGGGAAUAUUGGACAAUGCGCAAGCUGAUCCAGCCAUACCGCGUGGGUGAAGAAGGCCGGGUUGUAAGCCCUGUUGGGAAGAAGCAGUCGGCUAAUACCCGGUUGUUCUGACGGUACCCAAGAAGCACCGGCUAACUCGUGCCAGCAGCCGCGGUAAUACGAAGGGUGCAAGCGUUACUCGGAAUUACUGGGCGUAAAGCGUGCGUAGGUGGUUGUUUAAGUCUGUUGUGAACCCUGGCUCAACCUGGGAAUUGCAGUGGAUACUGGGCGACUAGAGUGUGGUAGAGGGUAGUGGAAUUCCCGGGUGCAGUGAUGCGUAGAGAUCGGGAGGAACAUCCAUGGCGAAGGCAGCUACCUGGACCACUGACACUGAGGCACGAAAGCGUGGGGAGCAAACAGGAUUAGAUAUGGUAGUCCACGCCCUAAACGAUGCGAACUGGAUGUUGGGUGCAAUUUGGCACGCAGUAUCGAAGCUACGCGUUAAGUUCGCCGCCUGGGGAGUACGGUCGCAAGACUGAACUCAAUGGAUUGACGGGCCCGCACAAGCGGUGGAGUAUGUGGUCUAAUUCGAUGCGUCGCGAACCUUACUGGUCUUGACAUGUCGAGAACUCUCCAGAGAUGGAUUGGUGCCUAAGCGAACUCGAACACAGGUGCAUCAUGGCUGUCGUCAGCUGUGUCGUGAGAUGUUGGUUAAGUCCCGCAACGGCGCAACCUUGUCCUUAGUUGCCAGCACGUAAUGGUGGGAACUCUAAGGAGACCGCCGGUGACAAACCGGAGGAAGGUGGGGAUGACGUCAGUCAUCAUGGCCCCGACCAGGGCUACACACGUACUACAAUGGUAGGGACAGAGGGCUGCAAACCCGCGAGGGCAGCCAAUCCCAGAAACCCUAUCUCAGUCCGGAUUGGAGUCUGCAACUCGACUCCAUGAAGUCGGAAUCGCUAGUAAUCGAGAUCAGCAUUGCUGCGGUGAAUACGUUCCCGGGCCUUGUACACACCGCCGUCACACCAUGGGAGUUGUUGCACCAGAAGCAGGUAGCUUAACCUUCGGGAGGGCGCUUGCCACGGUGUGGCCGAUGCUGGGGUGAAGUCGUAACAAGGUAGGUAUCGGGUGCGGCACCUCAG